UACGGGGGGGGCAAGCGUUGUUCGGAAUUACUGGGCGUAAAGGGCUCGUAGGCGGCCAACUAAGUCGGACGUGAAAUCCCCAGGCUCAACCUGGGAACUGCGUCUGAUACUGGAUGGCUUGAGUGUGGGAGAGGGAUGCGGAAUUCCAGGUGUAGCGGUGAAAUGCGUAGAUAUCUGGAGGAACACCGGUGGCGAAGGCGGCAUCCUGGACCAUUACUGACACUGAAAAGCGAAAGCCAGGGGAGCAAACGGG
rnacentral:rRNA from 1 species